GAGUCCAAACAAUAUAUAUUAGCCCAAUGGAAAUAAAAUAAGCAAAGCCCAAAUGAAUUAAUAUCCAGCCCAACAAAUAAAAUGAACUAGACCCAAAUAAAAUAAAAACAGGCCCAAAAGAAUCGGCCCAAACGAGAAAGGCCCACUCCUCUCUUAAAUCUUCACUCUCGGUUCUCUCUACCGACAAUCUCGGUCCCUCUCUCUAUUUUCUAUCACAAAACCAAUCUCUCACGUCUCUUUCUAUCUAUCUAAAUUAAACACCACUCAACAUCAUCUCUCUCUCAAUCUUUAUUAAAGUUGCCUUUCUCUUUUUAUUAUCAAAACCAAACACACGUUGCAGACACAUUCCAUCAACUUUCUUUCUUCUCUCUCUUUUUUUUUAGCAUAACCCACCAUCUCUCUCAUUCUCAAAAAAAACGCUGCUCAACUCUCUCUCUCAAAAUCACGCUGCUAUCUCUCCAAAAUUCCUCACACAGAGCCGCUCAACAUCUCCCUCGCCUCUCUUCUCUCCCGUUGCCGCCGACUGUUGCUGUUCGCCGGAGUCGCGGGCUGCUGCUUCUCCUGUUGUCGCCAACUGUUGCUGUUCGCCGGAGUCGCUGAAGUCGCCGUUGGAGUUGCUGCUGCUUCGCCGAAGUCGCUGCUGCUUCGCCGAGUCGCUGCUGCUUCGCCGAGUCGCGGUUGCUGCCUGGAACUGCUGCCGCUCGCCGCCUGCGGCUGGAACCGCUGCUGCUGCUCGCCCGCCAACUGCUGCUCGCCGCCUGACGGAGGCAACUGCUGCCUGAGCACCGAGCCGCUGCUGUAGGGAGGCCGGCGAACAGCCGGGUGUUCGCCGUUUCCAGUUCUUCUCCGAGUUCCGAAGCCGGUGAGAGCUCCAUCAUCGCGUCGUCUCGUUCGUCUCUCGGUUCAGGCGAAGUCGUGGAGCAACAAGGCGAGCUUCUCGCCUGAACCCACCGCCAAGCACCGAGUCGCUGCUGCUCGUCGUCUCUUGAUCAGCCUGAACAGGCCGCGUCCCUUCCUCCUAAAGCUAAGUGGAAUAAGGGAAGAAGGUGGAGCAUUGAAGACAAGCUUACCUUGAGAAUACUUGGUAGGAUGAAUUAAAGGCUCACUUCUCCUUGUGCAGUCCUCAAAUGAAGAAUGAAGAGAAUGCAACAAUGUUGGCUGUUUUGAAUGACGAGGUGGUUUGGCUGGGAGCUUGUAUACUUAGGUGUACUUGGGCAUGGCAGCCUGCUGCAUAGGCGUGGGAAAAGAAAAGGUGCAGCAAGCUCAAGAGGGGAUAGGGGAGUGUGCAGCACAUGUCUCCACCCCCUUUCUCUUUUUCCCAUUUUCUUGAACUUAGGGGGGGUGGCAGAGUACUGUAGCAACACUGUUGAGUACUGUAGCAAUAACUAUUGAGUACUGUAGCGGCACUGUAGCAACGACUGUUUGAGUACUGUAGCGGUACUGAUUGUUUUGUGUCUACAAUAAAUCUUUCAUUGGUUCUGUAUUAGAAACUUUUGGUAUCGAGUUUUUCUAAUAUCGAGCACUUGUAUUCAGAUACAGAUUAAUCGAAUAAUUCUUGUAUCCGA